rnacentral:rRNA from 1 species
UACGGGCGGAGCGAGCAUUGUUCGGAAUUACUGGGCGUAAAGGGCUCGUAGGUGGCCAACUAAGUCAGACGUGAAAUCCCUCGGCUUAACCGGGGAACUGCGUCUGAUACUGGAUGGCUUGAGUUCGGGAGAGGGAUGCGGAAUUCCAGGUGUAGCGGUGAAAUGCGUAGAUAUCUGGAGGAACACCGGUGGCGAAGGCGGCAUCCUGGACCGACACUGACGCUGAGGAGCGAAAGCCAGGGGAGCAAACGGG